rnacentral:rRNA from 1 species
CAGCCGCCGCGGGAAUACGAAGGGUGCAAGCGUUACUCGGAAUUACUGGGCGUAAAGCGUGCGCAGGCGGUUAUAUAAGACAGAUGUGAAAUCCCCGGGCUCAACCUGGGAACUGCAUUUGUGACUGUAUAGCUAGAGUACGGCAGAGGGGGAUGGAAUUCCGCGUGUAGCAGUGAAAUGCGUAGAUAUGCGGAGGAACACCGAUGGCGAAGGCAAUCCCCUGGGCCUGUACUGACGCUCAUGCACGAAAGCGUGGGGAGCAAACAGGAUUAGAUACCCGCGUAGUCCCUGUCUCUUAUAA